AUGAAUUUUAAGCAACUUGAUCAUGAACAUGUUGCACAAGCUUGGGAGAGAAUGAAACUAAUGAUACGAAAUUGCCCUACUCAUGGUUUAAAUUUGUGGAUGAUUAUAAUUUUUUAUGCCGGAUUGAAUUUUGCUUCUAGAAAUCUUUUAGAUUCGGCCGCGGGAGGCACUUUUAUGAAAAUCUUUUUAGGGGAAGCUACUAAACUCCUAGAUAAUAUUAUGGUUAAUUAUUCUCAAUGGCAUACUGAAAGACCUACUAAUAACAAGGUGCAUGCGAUAGAAGAAAUUAAUGUUUUGAGUGGAAAGAUGGAUGAACUUAUGAAAUUAUUUGCUAGUGAGAGUGUUUCUUCUGAUCCUAAUGAUAUGCCCUUGUCUACUUUGAUUGAGAAUAAUAAUGAAUCUAUGGAUGUGAAUUUUGUUGGUAGGAACAAUUUUGGUAACAACGCAUAUAGAGGAAAUUUCAAUCCUAGGUCUAAUCCUAGUAAUCCCUCUAAUAAUUAUAGUAAUUCCUACAAAAAUUAUUAUGGAAAUUAUAAUAAGAUGCCCUCUGAUUUUGAAUCUAAUAUUAAAGAAUUUAUUACUUUGCAAAAGAAUUUUAAUGCUUUGAUUGAAGAAAAAUUGCUUAAGAUUGAUGAGUUGGCUAGGAACGUUGAUAGAAUUUGUCUUGAUGUUGAUUCUUUGAAACUUAGAUCUAUUCCACCUAAGCAUGAUAUCAAUGAGUCUCUCAAAUCCAUGAGAAUAUCCAUUGAUGAGUGCAAAGAAAGAACCGCUAGGAUGCGUGCUAAGAAAGAUGCCUUUAUAAGAGCGUGUUCUUCUAGUUCCUAUGAAAAUAAAGAUGAAGAUGUAAAAGUUAUUGAUGUGUCCCCUAUUAAAUAUUUGUUUUGCAAUAUGAAUCUUGAUAAUGAUGGGACUGAAUAUGAUCCACCUUUACCUAGAAGACAUUCCAAGAAUUCGGAAUUUUUUGAUCUUGAUGCUAAAAUUGAUAAAAGUCGGAUGGAAGAAAUUAAAACCCUAGAUGUUGAUAAAGCCACUAUUAUGGAUUUCAAGGAAUUUAACUAUGAAAAUUGCUCUUUGAUUGAUUGUAUUUCCUUGUUGAAAUCCGUGCUAAAUUCUCCUCACGCUUAUAGUCAAAAUAAAGCAUUUACUAAACAUGUCAUUGAUGUCUUGAUGCAAUCUUAUGAAGAAAAACUUGAAUUGGAUGUUUCUAUCCCUAGAAAACUUUAUGAUGAGUGGGAACCAACUAUUAAAAUUAAAAUUAAAGAUCAUGAAUGCUAUGCUUUAUGUGACUUGGGUGCUAGUGUUUCCACGAUUCCAAAGACUUUGUGUGAUUUGUUAGGUUUCCGUGAUUUUGAUGAUUGCUCUCUAAACUUGCACCUUGCGGAUUCCACUAUUAAGAAACCUAUGGGAAGAAUUAAUGAUGUACUUAUUGUUGAAAAUAGGAAUUAUGUGCCCAUAUAUUUUAUUGUUCUUGACAUAGAUUGCAAUCCUUCAUGUCCUAUUAUUCUUGGUAGACCUUUCCUUAGAACGAUUGGUGCAAUUAUUGAUAUGAAGGACGGAAAUAUUAGAUUCCAAUUUCCAUUAAGUAAAGGCAUGGAACACUUUCCUAGAAAGAAAAUUAAAUUACCUUAUGAAUCAAUUAUUAGAUCCACUUAUGGAUUGCCUACCAAAGAUGGCAAUACCUAG
rnacentral:rRNA from 1 species